UACUGUCUUUUCGAGGUAGGAGUCGACUCCUGUGAGGUAUGGUGCUGGGUGCAGAUGCAGUGUGGCUCUGGAUAGCACCUUAUGGACAGUUGUGUCCCCAAGGAAGGAUGAGAAUAGCUACUGAAGUCCUAAAGAGCAAGCCUAACUCAAGCCAUUGGCACACAGGCAUUAGACAGAAAGCUGGAAGUUGAAAUGGUGGAGUCCAACUUGCCUGGACCAGCUUAAUGGUUCUGCUCCUGGUAACGUUUUUAUCCAUGGAUGACUUGCUUGGGUAAGGACAUGAAGACAGUUCCUGUCAUACCUUUUAAAGGGUUUUUAAUGACCACAACAAGCAAGCAUGCAGCUUACUGCUUGAAAGGGUCUUGCCUCACCCAAGCUAGAGUGCAGUGGCCUUUGAAGCUUACUACAGCCUCAAACUUCUGGGCUCAAGUGAUCCUCAGCCUCCCAGUGGUCUUUGUAGACUGCCUGAUGGAGUCUCAUGGCACAAGAAGAUUAAAACAGUGUCUCCAAUUUUAAUAAAUUUUUGCAAUCCAUCUGGA
rnacentral:lncRNA from 1 species